CCUACGGGAGGCAGCAGUAGGGAAUAUUGCUCAAUGGGGGAAACCCUGAAGCAGCAACGCCGCGUGGAGGAUGAAGGUUUUAGGAGUGUAAACCCCUUUUGUGAGAGAAGAUAAUGACGGUAUGUGACGAAUAAGCAACGGCUAACUCAGUGCAAGCAGCCGCGGUAAUACGGAGGGUGCAAGCGUUACUCGGAAUCACUGGGCGUAAAGAGUGCGCAGGCGGGUUUGUAAGUCAGAUGUGAAAUCCUGUAGCUUAACUCCAGAACUGCAUUUGAAACUAUGAGUCUAGAGUGUGGGAGAGGUAGGUGGAAUUCGUGGUGUAGCGGUAAAAUCCGUAGAUAUCAAGAAGAAUACUCAUUGCGAAGGCAGCCUACUGGAACAUUACUGACGCUCAUGCACGAAAGCGUGGGGAGCAAACAGGAUUAGAUACCCUAGUAGUC
rnacentral:rRNA from 1 species